ACUUCCGCAUACUCCAGGCCCACUUUACAGGAGCAGCGUUCCCAACAGCCAAAAGGUGGGAGCAGCCCACGGGUCCACGGACGGGUGAAGGGGUGAGCAAACAGUCUAUACGGACAGUGGAGAGCUCUUUAACCGCAGAAAGAAGGAAAUUCUGCAUAUGCUGCAACAUGGAUGAAAGGCGUGAACUGUACACUUAAGCAUGGUUUAAACGGUAAGUGUUAUGUGAUGUGCGUUUUACCACCAUGUUUGAAAAAGGUUCU
rnacentral:lncRNA from 1 species